GCGGAUUGUUCAGGUUGUGCGCCUUCAAGAUUCUAAGUUGGUAUUGCAAAACAUUAAGGUGUUUUGUGAGCAUUGGUAUGGGCCGUUUCGAAACGGGGAUCAGCUUGGUGGGUGUGCUAUUCAAGAUUCUGCAUUUGCUUCUACCAAAGCCUUGGACCCUGCAGAAGUCAUUGGUGUUUGGGAGGGUAAGCAUGCCAUCUCCAGUUACAACAAUGCUCCAGAAAAAGUUAUUCAAGAGCUUGUCGAUGGCAGCACCAGGAAGACAGUACGAGAUGAAUUAGAUCUUGUUGUGCUUCCAAGGCAACUAUGGUGUUGUUUGAAAGGCAUUGCAGGUGGUGAAACUUGCUGUGAAGUUGGGUGGCUGUUCGAUCAAGGACGUGCCAUUACAUCCAAAUGCAUAUUUUCUGAUAAUGGCAAGUUAAAGGAAAUUGCUAUAGCAUGUGAAAGUGCAGCACCAGCACAAUAGGUCACAAUUACCUACAACAUAUGGCCAGUGCAGUAGGAAGACAACUGUUCAAUUUCCCUUAUCCAGAAUUAAAUUAAUGGACAGGAAGUAUAUAAUUGUAUAUUCAACAUUGGUUUAUUUUCAAGUGGCAACAAUUAUGUUUAAUAAUGGUCUGAGAUAAAUGAUAUUAGUUGAUAUAAGCUUUUUAGUUGAG
rnacentral:misc_RNA from 1 species